rnacentral:rRNA from 1 species
GAUGAACGCUAGCGGCAGGCUUAAUACAUGCAAGUCGAGGGGCAGCACGGUUAGCAAUAACUGGUGGCGACCGGCGCACGGGUGCGUAACACGUAUACAAUCUACCUUAAACAGGGGGAUAGCCUUUCGAAAGAGAGAUUAAUACCCCGUGAUAAAUUGAACGGCAUCGUUUGAUUUUGAAAGCUCCGGCGGUUUGAGAUGAGUAUGCGUCUGAUUAGCUAGUUGGUGAGGUAACGGCUCACCAAGGCGACGAUCAGUAGGGGAUCUGAGAGGACUAACCCCCACACUGGUACUGAGACACGGACCAGACCCCUACGGGAGGCAGCAGUAAGGAAUAUUGGUCAAUGGAGGCAACUCUGAACCAGCCAUGCCGCGUGCAGGAUGACGGCCCUAUGGGGUUGUAAACUGCUUUUAUACAAGAGAAAACCCUGGUACGUGUACCAGGUUGAUAGUAUUGUAAGAAUAAGCAUCGGCUAACUUCGUGCCAGCAGCCGCGGU